CCUACGGGGGGCUGCAGUGAGGAAUAUUGGUCAAUGGGCGCGAGCCUGAACCAGCCAAGUCGCGUGAGGGAUGACGGUCCUACGGAUUGUAAACCUCUUUUGCCGGGGAGCAAGCGUGCGUGCGUGAACGCGCGUCGAGAGUACCCGGAGAAAAAGCAGCGGCGAACUCCGUGCCAGCAGCCGCGGUAAUACGGAGGAUGCAAGCGUUGGCCGGAUUUACUGGGUGUACAUGGCGUGCAGCCGGAGAGACAAGUCAGAUGUGAAAUCCGCAGGCUCCACCUGCGAACUGCAUUUGAAACUGUUUCCCUUGAUUAUCGGCGAGGUCAUCGGAAUUCCUAGUGUAGCGGUGAAAUGCGUAGAUAUUAGGAAGAACACCAGUGGCGAAGGCGGAUGACUGGACGACACCUGACGGUGAGGCGCGAAAGCGUGGGGAGCAAACAGGAUUAGAUACCCCAGUAGUC
rnacentral:rRNA from 1 species